rnacentral:rRNA from 1 species
GAAGGUAGCUUGCUACCGGACCUAGCGGCGGACGGGUGAGUAAUGCUUAGGAAUCUGCCUAUUAGUGGGGGACAACAUCUCGAAAGGGAUGCUAAUACCGCAUACGUCCUACGGGAGAAAGCAGGGGAUCUUCGGACCUUGCGCUAAUAGAUGAGCCUAAGUCGGAUUAGCUAGUUGGUGGGGUAAAGGCCUACCAAGGCGACGAUCUGUAGCGGGUCUGAGAGGAUGAUCCGCCACACUGGGACUGAGACACGGGCCAGACUCCUACGGGAGGCAGCAGUGGGGAAUAUUGGACAAUGGGGGGAACCCUGAUCCAGCCAUGCCGCGUGUGUGAAGAAGGCCUUAUGGUUGUAAAGCACUUUAAGCGAGGAGGAGGCUACUUUAGUUAAUACCUAGAGAUAGUGGACGUUACUCGCAGAAUAAGCACCGGGUAACUCUGUGCCAGCAGCCGCGGUAAUACAGAGGGUGCGAGCGUUAAUCGGAUUUACUGGGCGUAAAGCGUGCGUAGGCGGGUUAUUAAGUCGGAUGUGAAAUCCCCGAGCUUAACUUGGGAAUUGCAUUCGAUACUGGUGAGCUAGAGUAUGGGAGAGGAUGGUAGAAUUCCAGGUGUAGCGGUGAAAUGCGUAGAGAUCUGGAGGAAUACCGAUGGCGAAGGCAGCCAUCUGGCCUAAUACUGACGCUGAGGUACGAAAGCAUGGGGAGCAAACAGGAUUAGAUACCCUGGUAGUCCAUGCCGUAAACGAUGUCUACUAGCCGUUGGGGCCUUUGAGGCUUUAGUGGCGCAGCUAACGCGAUAAGUAGACCGCCUGGGGAGUACGGUCGCAAGACUAAAACUCAAAUGAAUUGACGGGGGCCCGCACAAGCGGUGGAGCAUGUGGUUUAAUUCGAUGCAACGCGAAGAACCUUACCUGGCCUUGACAUACUAGAAACUUUCCAGAGAUGGAUUGGUGCCUUCGGGAAUCUAGAUACAGGUGCUGCAUGGCUGUCGUCAGCUCGUGUCGUGAGAUGUUGGGUUAAGUCCCGCAACGAGCGCAACCCUUUUCCUUACUUGCCAGCAUUUCGGAUGGGAACUUUAAGGAUACUGCCAGUGACAAACUGGAGGAAGGCGGGGACGACGUCAAGUCAUCAUGGCCCUUACGGGCAGGGCUACACACGUGCUACAAUGGUCGGUACAAAGGGUUGCUACACAGCGAUGUGAUGCUAAUCUCAAAAAGCCGAUCGUAGUCCGGAUUGGAGUCUGCAACUCGACUCCAUGAAGUCGGAAUCGCUAGUAAUCGCGGAUCAGAAUGCCGCGGUGAAUACGUUCCCGGGCCUUGUACACACCGCCCGUCACACCAUGGGAGUUUGUUGCACCAGAAGUAGCUAGCCUAACUGCAAAGAGGGCGGUUACCACGGUGUGGCCGAUGACUGGGGUGAAGUCGUA